GGGCAGAGGGACAUGACCUGGGGGUUACAGGGCAGCUUUGGAGCCUGACAUUCGCAUUCAUAGCCCAGCUCUGCACUCCUAUUGUGUGAGCUUAAAUAAGUUACUUAAUUGCAGAGCUCCGUUUCCCUCCUUUGUGAAACAGGAGCACUGGUACCGGCUCACAGGAGCUGUAGCAGGAUUGACUUGAGGGCGCACAGGUCAAGCGUGGACAGGCCCUGGUACAGAGUAAGGACUUGAGAAUGGGAGUUGUUAGUAUAAUGGGACUGGCAGCCUCCUGGAGAGGCUCCGACCCACCUCUCCCAGCUCUGGGCCUCACAGUUUCCUCCUCCGCCUGCUUCCCCACCCCCGCCCCACAGCCCUGACUCCUUCCCCGCCGCCAGGGCUCCGAGGGAGCAAUCAGACAAUAAGGGGAAUGUCAUGCCCUUUCCCACCCUGGAGCCCAGCUCUGGGGCCUCAUCAAGUCGAGCAGUGCAGCAGCUGGGACUGGGCUGGAUUCGGAGGUUUGGGGCUCCUUGGUCGUUAGCACGUGGACAGUGGCUGAAUCAUGGAAUACAUGACGACAUCCUGCAGAGUGAGGCCAAGGAGGGAAGAGGCCCAGAGCAGCACCUGGAGGGGGGUGGAGAGUCAGAAGAAAGUUCUUCCCUCUCUCCCAGAACCCCCUCACCGUCUUCAAUGACCAGGCUGAGAUGGAAAGAUCCUUAAAGGUUGGACUCGAUCGGGACGCCUGGGUGGCUCAGUCAGUUAAGCAUCCAACUUCAGCUCAGGUCAUGAUCUCAUGGUCUGUGAGUUUGAGCCCCGCA